rnacentral:rRNA from 1 species
AACGAACGCUGGCGGCAUGCCUAACACAUGCAAGUCGAACGAGACCUUCGGGUCUAGUGGCGCACGGGUGCGUAACGCGUGGGAACCUGCCCUUAGGUUCGGAAUAACUCCCCGAAAGGGGUGCUAAUACCGGAUAAUGUCUUCGGACCAAAGAUUUAUCGCCUUUGGAUGGGCCCGCGUGGGAUUAGCUAGUUGGUAGGGUAAAAGCCUACCAAGGGGACGAUCCAUAGCUGGUCUGAGAGGAGGAUCAGCCACACUGGGACUGAGACACGGCCCAGACUCCUACGGGAGGCAGCAGUGGGGAAUGUUGGACAAUGGGCGAAAGCCUGAUCCAGCAAUGCCGCGUGAGUGAUGAAGGCCUUAGGGUUGUAAAGCUCUUUUACCCGGGAUGAUAAUGACAGUACCGGGAGAAUAAGCCCCGGCUAACUCCGUG